UACGGAGGGUGCAAGCGUUAUCCGGAUUCACUGGGUUUAAAGGGUGCGUAGGAGGGCAGGUAAGUCAGUGGUGAAAUCUCCGAGCUUAACUUGGAACUGCCGUUGAUACUAUCUGUCUUGAAUAUUGUGGAGGUGAGCGGAAUAUGUCAUGUAGCGGUGAAAUGCUUAGAUAUGACAUAGAACACCAAUUGCGAAGGCAGCUCGCUACACAUAUAUUGACUCUGAGGCACGAAAGCGUGGGGAUCAAAUAGG
rnacentral:rRNA from 1 species